rnacentral:rRNA from 1 species
GACGAACGCUGGCGGCGCGCCUAACACAUGCAAGUCGAACGAGCGAGAGAGAGCUUGCUUUCUCGAGCGAGUGGCGAACGGGUGAGUAACGCGUGAGGAACCUGCCUCAAAGAGGGGGACAACAGUUAGAAAUGACUGCUAAUACCGCAUAUGCCUUAGAACCACAUGGUUCAAAAGGGAAAGGAGCAAUCCGCUGAUAGAUGGGCUUGCGUCUGAUUAGCUAGUUGGUGGGGUAAUGGCCUACCAAGGCAACGAUCAGUAGCCGAACUGAGAGGUUGAACGGCCACAUUGGGACUGAGAUACGGCCCAG